GCUGUUUUGGCUCAGUGGAUAGAGCGUCGGCCUAUAGACUGAAGGGUCCUGGUUCAAUUCCAGCCAAGGGCA
rnacentral:tRNA from 1 species